GUGAGCUGGGUUCAGAACGUCGUGAGACAGUUCGGUCCCUAUCUGCCGUGGGUGUAGGAGAAUUGAGAGGAUUUGUCCCUAGUACGAGAGGACCGGGAUGAACGUACCUCUGGUGUAGCUGUUGUGGCGCCAGCCGCAGCGCAGCGUAGCUAUGUACGGACGGGAUAACCGCUGAAAGCAUCUAAGCGGGAAACCCACCUCAAAACGAGUUCUCCCUUGAGAGCCGUGGUAGACCACCACGUUGAUAGGCCAGGUGUGUAAGCGCGGUAACGUGUUUAGCUUACUGGUACUAAUCGCUCGAUUGGCUUGAUUGC
rnacentral:ncRNA from 1 species